AGUUCUUGGGACGAACAAGAUUGUCAAGUGCCGUGACGUAAGGUGAUGUGUAAACAACUAUUUCUUGAAAUUUAUAGCGCAAGUGGUCAUAGAGCCUGUUUCGUUGUUCUCACCUGUCAGCCCAAACACCAAAGUUUGUUAAUUGGUUCUCCCAAUGCUUGUAAUUCUUAAGCAUCAAGCUAAUGGAGGUUAUCCAUCAAGAUGGGAAUGGGCCGGGUCGACUCGCUGGGUCGCUGACCCGGCCCAAGAAUUCGGGGCUGAUGGGUCACAUGGGUUGGCCUCAAAAAAAAUUUUGGGCCAGUAGAGCCGGCACCAAGUGACCCGUUGGGUCAGCGGGAUCGGCCCACCUCGUGGUCUCGUAUCUCACGACAACUAUGUUCUAAUCGUCGCUCUCGCCGAUCUCUGCCGUGCCGGUGGCAUUCAAUAUCAACUAGUAGUACUAGCGGCAUCCGAUGGCUAGACACACCCACACGGGCACACGGAUGUUGCAUGUCUGUACAGCUGGCGGCGGCACGCUGACGGCAAGGCGCGGCGGCGCGGCGAGGGGUGGCAGUGGCGGGCGCUCGUGCGUGUUGCGCGGCUGCGGCUGCUCCUGGGGCUGCGUGGUGGACUGCGCGAGGCUUCCCCGGGGCUGCCUUGGGGGCUCGAUCUGGCGUGGCCAGAUCUGGCGGUCGAGGCUUCACUCAUGGGCGGUGGUGCUAGGGUGGAGGGAGGCUCGGCCAUGGGGUCUUGCGGCGUGACUACGACGGGCUGGCGGCUGGAGUACCUCGACGACCUCGCCGGCGACCUCCUGCGGGACGACGCUCGUGCGGCUGUGUGGCGGGCUGCCCCGUUUGGUCCUGGCGGUGGCUGCUUCGGGCGGAUCUGGAGCUGGACCUCGUGUGGCAACUUCGGAUGGAUCUGGUGGUGGCAGCUCGGGGUGGCAUCUUCGUGCGGCUGGAUCCGGAGCUUCGGGGUGGUAGCCCGUGCUCCUCUCCUGGUGAUUUUGGUCUUGUGGUGUGCGUCGCGCCGGAUGCGGCUCUUUGUGGGAGGUGCUGCAACAGCAAGGUUCGAUCCCCCCGCAUUCAGUCUGCACUACGGGCGCUUUGGUUCUGGCCUUCGGGAGACGUGCGGUGGCGCGCGUGGGGCGCGUCGGCGUGCCUGAUGUAUGGCUGCAGCCCGGAACCAUGGUGGUUCUUGGCCUCAGGCAGCACCCCUCUGCUCCUUGCCGGCAUGGUGCUUGGUGGGGCACGGUGGCUCGCGUUGCGUCCGGUGGCUCUACGUCAGGCCGGCCAUUGGUGGAUCUGGCGUCUAGUGUUGAGUUUGGCCGUCGGUGGUCUCCGCAAGGUGCGGCUCGCUGAGGCGGUUCGUCGUGCUUCUUCAUCGUUGGAGGGUUCGACGGCGGUGGUGGUCGGCUGCCGUAUUGCUGUAGGGAUGUGCUCAAACUCCGGGUGAGAACCCUGCAUCGGCUAUGCUGAUGUCGGUGGCAGCGGCGUCUACAGACGUCGUUUUCCUCGUAGGAGGUGCCGUCGUGGAGCUACAGCACCUACAGUUCUUUGUUUGUGGUCUCCGGUAAAAACUCAAGAUCGGGCUUGCCGGAUCGGAUGACGGUGUUGUGUGCUCGACAACACUACCUUCUUGGAGGCGUCGUCUUGGAGACCCAAACAACGACGUCUGUUGCUGUGUGUGGUUGUGGGUGGUGCGUUUAGUGGUGGUGGUGCGGCCUGCUCAGGACCGAGGGUGGUGUUUCUUCUUCAGGUGUUUCUCUUCGGCUGUCCUACGUGUGGUCUCCGGCCUGCUUCUAUGCAUGCUCAUGCCCCUGUUCUAUUGAGGCCAGCCUCGGUCUCUUGGUCUCGUCUUGGUUCACCUUUGCUCAAUGACGAAGCAAUGACGCCUCCCCGCCUUGCUAAUCAUCUUGAACUUCCGUGGCGGAGCUCUCAGUCAAGGUUCGUGUUAAGCUUUGGCACAAGGUUUGCGUUAAGUUUUGGCACUCGUUGAUUGUGGAUGCUCCUCUGUUGUGCUGUGGGGUUUGAUACACACGCCGGUGCGGUGCGUUAGGCUGUUUUGUAGAGUCUUGGUAUUGUGAUCCCUCGGCGCACCCCUCAUAUACAUGGUCUGGUUAGUAUGCUAGCUAGGUCUUGCCUUAUGUUGGGCGUCUUGUUCCUCUCCUUUUUUUGUAACACUUGUUACUUGUCUGGUUUUCGGCUCGGUUUUUCUCAUAAAUGGGGUCACUUUGUUAAGGUCUUCGAUCCGGUUUUCCUUAUAAACUGGAUCACUCUCCUGGCAUUAUGACCACUUUAAGUAAUAUAUUCAGGUGGAGGGACUCCUUCCCCGGUGAUUCUAAAAAAAAUGUCUAGAAAAAAAACACAUGAGUUUACUACUGUCUACGAAUGUAUGCAUAUAUAAUGCACGGACGCAGCAGCUAGACCACUUGAAUCUUCAUAUAAUUUUUUUCUUCCAUUCCUAGAUUACGUACUACUCUAUUAGGAUUUUAGCUAUCAGCACAUCACAAAAAAAAGGAACACACGUCACUAAUAAUUGGGUCGACCCGAAAUACCCAUGGGGCUAACGAGGCCACUACCAUUCAUGAUAUGGGUCGGCCUGUGGCCUCUUAUAUUGGCCCUGAGGCCACUAGGGCCAGGUCCAAGGCCAGGGCCCGGUCAGCCCAUUCCCAUCCUGAGUUAUCCACUAUAGACCUUUAAGAUGGAAUGUGAAGGUGGUUUGAGAAACUCAUUACAAAAUAGCAAGCAGAAAGAAAUUACAUGUCAGGGCCUGUGUUUUGCUUUUAGGUACCGCAUCAUCAGUGAACAAAACUAUUUGGCUUUGGGCGCUUUCUUGUGAACAGGAGCUUGGUAGGGUACACAAUCAGAUGUUUUUUGCUUCGCUUGUAAGCCAUUAAUCCUCAGGAUAGAUGAUUGAGUUUAUCUUAGUUCUGAUUGGAAGCACAAGCAAAGCUGCAUUUGGGGAGCCUUUUCACUUUAAUUUGUUGAGAGAUCAUAUCCCAGUAAUCAUUAUAGAGGUUUAUCCGUUUCAGCAUUAUGGGCUAUGAUUCCCAACUAAUCAUUAUGUAGUGUCGUGGGGAGUAUAUAU
rnacentral:lncRNA from 1 species